UUUAUGCCAUCUUUACACGUGUCUUCCUCUUUCUUUCUUUUUCUCAAUCGUGAACUUCACAUACAUCCAGGUUACAAUCCACUGCCAAACCCACGCUCUGCCAUCGUCUUUACACCAUCACUUCUGCCUCUGCUCCUCCAAUAGCCACCAAAACUACUGCUGACCACCCUUUCAAACGAAACGAUAUGCAUACGAUUUUACGUGUUGAAUCCUUGAAGCUUUCAUGUGUCGUCUUCCUCUUAAAGCUUCCGUGUGCUGUCUUUCUUGAGGUUUCUUUCUUUCACACAACCAGACUUCAUAGAGGAGAGAGAUGCAGCUCUUUUGGCGAUCUGCACAGACUUCAAAUGGUUCAUCACUAAUCUUUCAAUUUCUACACUAAAAUGUCAUUUGAGAUCUUGAAACCCUAACGAAUCUGUACAUUAUUUUUCGAGGAGAAGUUACCACCAUAGAAGGAAAAUCAAGCAAAUAACAAGGGUCACAUGAUUACCUCACUGAUCGGAGCAGACGAAACAGAUCCGACGGUGAAUUGGUGAUUGAACAAAGCGGUCGUGGUUGGUUUGGCAGCGACGUCCGACUGUGGUGAUGCAACGGUCAAUCUCUGGUAAAAGUGAAGAUUGCGGUGAGGUGCAAAGAAUAUCAGACUGUGAUUUUCUGUGGUGCUCAAUGGGUUUUAAAAAGAAAUUGAAGAUCGGUGCUAACAAAUUCAAUUAAUUAGGAUUCAGCUAAGAGUGCCUGAGUAUGGUUGGACAACACAAAAAGUUUUCCACCUCAUUAACUUCAUUGUAAAUGGAGUGCGUGCCAAUGUCUUUGGGUUCCAUUUAGACAGCCCGUAGUGGGCGCUUUUUAAUUGCCCAAACACGCCCCUUCACCCCCCCCCCCCCUCGGUGUGAUCGGGCGUUAUUCGUGAAAAAUGGUUUGUGGUGUGUUUUGAAACACGCUCAAGGGGCAAAUCUUCGACCAAUCAGAACGAGAUGCAACAGUCAUAAACAAAUGGCUAGAUUUUAUUUUUUUCCCAAAGACUUUCUUGAAAACAUUUCACUUUCAUAAUUUUUCAGUUAAUAUGCAAUAAAUGAAAAGAGAUUCAUAUAGUCUCGAUGAAAUGUGUGUUUAUUAAAAACAUAUAUAAAUUUAAAAAUUUUGUUACAGGUUUGCAUCUGCAUCUGGAUGCUAUUGGAGGUGCCCGGUCUACUGUUUUUCUCAACAUAUACUCUAACUGUCCUAUUUUGGGCUGAGAUAUAUCACCAAGCUAAGAAUUUACCAACGAGUAAACUCAGGAUUAUAUAUGUAUCAGUUAACGCAGGGGGUUUAUUUGAUACUUCGGAUCUGAUUUACAUUAUCUAAUUUGUCAUCUUUGAUGAAAUGUUUUUUUUUUUUUUAUAUAAUGAUGGCAGGGUUUACUAGCACAAGAAGAUUACUGUCAUCUGAUGCAACCGCGGGUGCAUCUCCUUUGACGCCAACACUCGCUAAUCGCUAUGGGCAAGCUGAAGCUGAGAAAGCCGUCUCUAAACCUUCAAAAGUCCAAGCAAUUCUCAAAAACAUAAAACAAGUUCUUCACUAUGCAAAUAAUUCGGUGAUAUAUCGGUUAUCGGUUCCCAUGUGAAAUAUCGGUGUCAAUUAUCAGUCAGAAUAUUGGUACCAAUGGUUGGCAGCUAGGUACAAGUUUUUACAGCAGUUGUGGGAGAGGAUGCUUACAAACAUCUUGAAGGGAUACAUGGCAAGAGCUCUCCUUAGACCGGCAAAGUGCCUGGCAUCAGUUUUGCUCUAGCUUAUGUAAUUAACUACAUCGAUGCGACUCAGUGAGAACCGACUGAAUAUCAAUAUAAAUUUAGCCCCCGCCGCAUCGCGGCGGGUUACAUUUCUAGUUGAUUUCUAAUUUCCAACCUUGUAUAGCAGUUUGAUAAUAUAUUAACAUGUAUUGUAAAACAUUAAUAAAUCAAGCUUAUUGUUAACUUA